AUAUAAUUUAUGCAGUGAGUUUAGUUUUGUGAUUGUGAGUUAAUAU
rnacentral:guide_RNA from 1 species